rnacentral:ribozyme from 1 species
UGCCCAGCAACUCCUAUUUCUACCUCCCCGUGGUACUGGCUGGGGUACGAGCAAUCUUAAAGAAAGG